rnacentral:rRNA from 1 species
UAACGCGUGGGUAACCUGCCUCNUACAGGGGGAUAACAGUUAGAAAUGACUGCUAAUACCGCAUAAGCGCACAGGACCGCAUGGUCCGGUGUGAAAAACUCCGGUGGUAUGAGAUGGACCCGCGUCUGAUUAGUUAGUUGGCGGGGUAGCGGCCCACCAAGACGACGAUCAGUAGCCGACCUGAGAGGGUGACCGGCCACAUUGGGACUGAGACACGGCCCAAACUCCUACGGGAGGCAGCAGUGGGGAAUAUUGCACAAUGGGGGAAACCCUGAUGCAGCGACGCCGCGUGAGUGAAGAAGUAUUUCGGUAUGUAAAGCUCUAUCAGCAGGGAAGAAGUUGACGGUACCUGAGUAAGAAGCCCCGGCUAACUACGUGCCAGCAGCCGCGGUAAUACGUAGGGGGCAAGCGUUAUCCGGAUUUACUGGGUGUAAAGGGAGCGUAGACGGCAGUGCAAGUCUGAAGUGAAAGCCCCGGGCUUAACCCGGGAACUGCUUUGGAAACUGUACGGCUGGAGUGCUGGAGAGGUAAGCGGAAUUCCUAGUGUAGCGGUGAAAUGCGUAGAUAUUAGGAGGAACACCAGUGGCGAAGGCGGCUUACUGGACAGUAACUGACGUUGAGGCUCGAAAGCGUGGGGAGCAAACAGGAUUAGAUACCCUGGUAGU